CUGCCCUCAAGCACGGCUUGUGUGUUGGGCCCCCCCGUCCCGGUUCUCCAGCCGGGACGGGCCCGAAAGGCGGCGGCGGCACCGUGUCCGGUCCUCGAGUGUAUGGGGCUCUGUCACCCACUCGUGUAGGCCCGGCCGGCGGCCAGCCUCUUCAACCAAACUUCUUUAACCAGG
rnacentral:misc_RNA from 1 species